GGCUACUGCUAUCGGUGUUCGCCUAAGCCAUGCGAGUCAUAUGUUCGUAAGAACAUGGCGUACUGCUCAGUAACACGUGGAUAACCUGCCCUUGGGUCCGGCAUAACCCCGGGAAACUGGGGAUAAUUCCGGAUAACGCACAUAUGCUGGAAUGCUUUUUGCGUAAAAUGGAUUCGUCUGCCCAAGGAUGGGUCUGCGGCCUAUCAGGUAGUAGUGGGUGUAAUGUACCUACUAGCCUACGACGGGUACGGGUUGUGAGAGCAAGAGCCCGGAGAUGGAUUCUGAGACAUGAAUCCAGGCCCUACGGGGCGCAGCAGGCGCGAAAACUUUACAAUGCGGGAAACCGUGAUAAGGGGACACCGAGUGCCAGCAUCCUAUGCUGGCUGUCCGGGUGUGUAAAAUACACCUGUUAGCAAGGGCCGGGCAAGACCGGUGCCAGCCGCCGCGGUAACACCGGCGGCCCGAGUGGUGAUCGUGAUUAUUGGGUCUAAAGGGUCCGUAGCCGGUUUGGUCAGUCCUCCGGGAAAUCUGACAGCUCAACUGUUAGGCUAUCGGAGGAUACUGCCAGACUUGGAACCGGGAGAGGUAAGAGGUACUACAGGGGUAGGAGUGAAAUCUUGUAAUCCCUGUGGGACCACCUGUGGCGAAGGCGUCUUACCAGAACGGGUUCGACGGUGAGGGACGAAAGCUGGGGGCACGAACCGGAUUAGAUACCCGGGUAGUCCCAGCCGUAAACGAUGCUCGCUAGGUGUCAGGCAUGGCGCGACCGUGUCUGGUGCCGCAGGGAAGCCGUGAAGCGAGCCACCUGGGAAGUACGGCCGCAAGGCUGAAACUUAA
rnacentral:rRNA from 1 species